rnacentral:misc_RNA from 1 species
GAUGAAGAACGCAGUGAAAUGCGAUAAGUAAUGUGAAUUGCAGAAUUCAGUGAAUCAUCGAAUCUUUGAACGCACAUUGCGCCACUUGGUAUUCCGAGGGGCAUGCCUGUUCGAGCGUCAUUAUAACCCCUCAAGCUCAGCUUGGUGUUGGGGCCUGCUGCACUGGCAGCCCUUAAAAUCAGUGGCGGCGCCAUCUGGCUCUAAGCGUAGUAAUUCUUCUCGCUAUGGAGUCCUGGUGGAUGCUUGCCAUCAACCCCCAAUUUUUCUAUGGUUGACCUCGGAUCAGGUAGGGAUACCCGCUGAACUUAAGCAUAUCAAUAAGCGGAGGA